UAGGGAAUCUUCGGCAAUGGACGGAAGUCUGACCGAGCAACGCCGCGUGAGUGAAGAAGGUUUUCGGAUCGUAAAGCUCUGUUGUAAGAGAAGAACGAGUGUGAGAGUGGAAAGUUCACACUGUGACGGUAUCUUACCAGAAAGGGACGGCUAACUACGUGCCAGCAGCCGCGGUAAUACGUAGGUCCCGAGCGUUGUCCGGAUUUAUUGGGCGUAAAGCGAGCGCAGGCGGUUAGAUAAGUCUGAAGUUAAAGGCUGUGGCUUAACCAUAGUACGCUUUGGAAACUGUUUAACUUGAGUGCAAGAGGGGAGAGUGGAAUUCCAUGUGUAGCGGUGAAAUGCGUAGAUAUAUGGAGGAACACCGGUGGCGAAGGCGGCUCUCUGGCUUGUAACUGACGCUGAGGCUCGAAAGCGUGGGGAGCAAACAGGAUUAGAUACCCUGGUAGUCCACGCCGUAAACGAUGAGUGCUAGGUGUUAGACCCUUUCCGGGGUUUAGUGCCGCAGCUAACGCAUUAAGCACUCCGCCUGGGGAGUACGACCGCAAGGUUG
rnacentral:rRNA from 1 species